rnacentral:lncRNA from 1 species
CCACUACGUGGAGAGUGAAUGACUGCUCAGCUUUUGGGAAGGGGAUACCAAAAGCACAGUGGUGAAAAAAUAGCUCCAUUACUUCUGAUUUGAAAGCUCCGUGUUAUUAACAUGUUGAUCUCUGAGGACUUCCAGGGCUGUCGCCAAUAAGCCACACCACCUGGUCCCACCAUCUUCCAAAGGUAGAUUAAUUUGCCACAUAGUGUGUUUUCCUCUUUAAUUAAU